UGACUUUGAGUCAUCCUUACAAAUUGUGCCAAACACCUCAUGAUCCAAAGAUUUUUUUUUUUCAGUUUCACUGCACAUUUGUUUCCCCACUAAACCACUUCACACCUUCCACCCACCAGAUUUUUUUCCCCACUGCAUCCCUCUCAUCGCACCACACAUUUUAAGGUAUAUAUAUGUAUUAUAAGGUACAUUUUACAGCAUACCAACUGCCCCCACUCUCCACCCUUUCAUCGCCACUUUGUCUUUUUUGACCAAGAGGACAAAAUGCAGUGAAUUGCCCUUGCUACUGAUCUGAAUCCCUUGCGAAGCAUCUGCCAAACACCCACAUACCAUAUGCCUGUGUCACUCAGCCAAGGAAAAAUACAGAAAAUGUGCACUCACAAUCCUAGAAAGCAAAUUAAAACAAAUAAAACUGAAGGGAAAGGCUAAGGAAACAUACACCCAAACACUAAAAAUAUUGUAGCUGCCCUCUGCACUCCAUCACCUUAUCUCUUUCACUGAUUUCCUAUUUUUCCCUGUAAGACAUCAAUAAAGCAUCAGAUCCAUUUCUCCCUAUGGCUUCUUUAUUCUUUACAGACUUGGGAAUAUAAGCAUACUGCUGUCAGGUUUCAAAAUCAAUGUGGAAUUAAAACAUGUGUUGAAGUGAUAAUGCACUUAGAGACACUGUGGUGUAGGUUACUGCCCCGCCUCUGUCCUGUCGGACAGUAUGUCUGGCAGUCUGCCUCUGUCUGCCUGGGGCAAAUUCAUAGGCUCUGGCAGAACUUAUGGCAAACCUGGAUGUGUGAAAGCCUGGGGCACAGCAUGCCUUCAGCACAACACUAACCAGUCAACAAAAAGAGAGAGUGUGCCAAGUCACACUGAAGCCUUGUACAUAAAAACAGUAUGCAUAUACAGUAAAAUAAGCAUUGUACAUAAGAUUUGAACUCUGACUUAAAGGUGGGGUAGGCAGGAUCUGAGGAAGUGCCAGUUUUUGGGAGAAAUCUUGAAUGUAAACUCUAUCCCUCCCAACCAGUUUUUCUCUCAGCUCCUCCUCUCCCCUCCCUCUCUGCUCCAGCAAGCCCCGCCCACAAACAUACCCUCCUGCUCGCUCGUAUCAUUUCAAUUAAAUUCAGAUAUAAUGCAGGUAAAUACUUCAGAUAAUUACAAAAUGGGGCCCUGUCAACAUUAAAGUAAAAAAUAUUGGUACUACUGUAGAUGUCAACAGACUACCAGCAAACACAAUGUUUGCAGGACUUCUACAGGGAGAGGCGAAGAAUGGCUUUGUUUACAGUCAGAGAGAGCAGCCGCUCUUUUAACCACUGGCCCUUUAAUUAAGUUAGGGUCAAACACACUGUAACACCGAGUUAGACACUCCAUCGAGAGAAGAAUGUUGCCGACCGCUUGCUUCUCUAGUUAUACCAACUUUAGUAACAACCGCACGAUAGGAAUAUACAGCGGUCCCAGGAGUCAUGCGCUCAACCAAAAAGCCACUCUAUAGCCACAAAUAAUGCUCAGAACAGCAACCAACUUCAUCAACAGUACAUAUAGGGUUCUAGCCAUAGUACUAGCCAUCAAACAUCUUUUUAGCUUUGUCUAAUUUCUUUAGCAGACAAAACACAACUCACCCACUCUCUUCCAGCAGCCACUUGUUUGUACGGAGACCUCGGACAAGUCGAUCACCGACUGCAGCUCAAGGAAGAAACCACCCCCAAAUUAAAAAAAACAUCCCUUCUUUGAUGGUAUUUGCAGGGAUAUUUCAAUAUUUUCAGUUGAGAAUGUAGGAGUUACACGUCACUUCUAAGUACACUGGCCACAGUAGAUGCUGGUCAGCUCACCUUCUUCACAGAGAAACUGUUGGUAGAAACAGGAUGAUAAGUAUGUCAGAGUUUUUUCGGCCCUGCCAUGUAAUUUAGGUAAAUUUUGAGAGACCUUGACCAAGCAAUCAUCUUGGUUUAUAUCCAUGAACUACUGAGUAUUUUUUGGCAUUCUUUCAUCUUAGAGUCCAUUGGUUUUUGCAGUAUUUUGCAGAAAGAUGGGUGUACUUUUCCACAUGCAGCGAGCUACCAAGCAACCAAAAUGAUGCUAACAUGUUAAUGCUCAGCAGGUAAGUAGCCUUCAAUGUUUGCAAUUGUAUUUUAUCAUUCUUUUUAUGUGUGCUAAAAAGUACAAAUACCAAAUAAACACAAACUUCAGCAGCUUUUAAUUUGAACACUGAUACUUUUGUUUAUGCAUAAAUAACAAAUAGACCAGAUGGUCACAUUUGAUCAAAGUUCAGGAAUCACUAAAGUCAACACAAUCCAUAAGCUUACAUUCAAGGGCAUUAACAAAAUGUCACAGCAUGUUGAUUUGUUUAACCGGAUGCCGAAUGUUGUCAACAGGGCAUGUGAGCUCAAAAUUUCUUGUUCAUUUAAAAAUAGUUGAGAUGUUUCAGUCUGAACCAAAAUGUCAAGUAGGGAGGAGAGACUGAAGUCGCCUGAAUUUAACUUAUGUCUGGAGCUGAAUGUGUGUUGUUAACAAGAGGAGAAGGAUACCUGGAAUAUUUUAAAGUAGUAAUUUAUAUUCAGGUACAACCAGCCUUGUCCUUGGAGGGGACAGAAGCAUGCUGUGGACACAUACUUAUAUGUGACCUCAAUACAGUCAGAGGGAUAGCCAGCUGGACUGUCUUAUAAAACUGAGAGAGCAAAUUAAAAUGUCACAAUACCUCACCAUGUUGGCCACUGACUCAGCUUUGCUCCUUACUCAAAUGAAAAGCACUUCAACAUUAGAGGGAGAUUGAUGAAACAGACUUGAGAGGAGAGGAGGAAACAAGACAAACAUAAGCAAGUCAGACUUGUGUAAAACGAAGUGCUUUCAUAGUAUGAGAAAGAAGAAAGAGAGAUACAAGACUGGUGUAUAAGAGAAGAGAUUAAGUACCGCACUACAUUACCUCAUGAGCCUUCACAACAUGAAAGAGAAGAGGAGGGAAUAAAAAAUAUGCAGCGUCUGGAAAAUAAAAAAACCCUCUGUGAGGUCGUUGUUGUUUGACAAAAUAACCUUGAGUUGAGGUUUUAAGUGAGGCAGACCAUGAGCCCACGGUACAGGGUGGUUAGAGAGGAUUAUGGGUGAGAGAGACAGUAAAUGAAGAGAGAGUAAAAGAGAGAAAGAGCUAAGUAGAGAAAGAAAGAAAAAGAAAGAAAGAAAGAAAGAGAUGAUUUGCAGCAGCUGUUUGAUCAGAGUCUGACCAAUUUCAAUCAUACUUAAUUAUGAAUGAGCAGAACCAAAUUUACCUUUUGCCCACACAAAAGAAGGGUAGGAGGGCACUCCACUAAAUGCCACCUCUGAAGUGUGUUUGUAUAAGCUAAUGGUGUCCUGCCCAAGGAGGGGGUAGACUGACAGCUCGAUCCGCCCUCUCAUUAGCGUACCCAGGAAGUAACCCUGGUUCUGCACACAGGGUCGAGUAUUGAUGUGUCACCAUGACUGUGCGAGCUGCCAUGACAGACCGAGUCACCUUUAGCCUGUAUUUGGUUGUGGCUGUAAACUAUAAUUUUCCCUUUGCAGUAUGCUCACUGUGAGUCUCCUGGCUCAUGUUUUUCAAAUUUGUCUAAUGGGCUGUGAAAUUAGUUUUAUCUCCAAGCACAAUAUGGCUUUGGAACAAUUCUAUGCAGUGUAGUUUCCCCAAAGUCCUGGUUUGGAAACAUGUUUUCAUUCUGAGUUACAUACAGUACAGAUUACAUACAGCCAUUAAAAAGUGCCCACUCCUUAAAUCAAGACAUUUAGUGCUCUCCACAAGUUUUUUACCACUUUUUACAUGGGGCUAACAUGAACAUUAAAGGCAUGGUUGACUAUCUGAGAAACAGUUGACAAAAGCCUCCCACCCCCCACACACAAACCUCUCCCCUCUGUGCUCCACGAUAACUCCUCCCCAAACCUGUAUCGCCCUCCCCACGACACACCCCCUCUGGCAGAGCAAGAAGCCGGCCGGCAAAAGAUCCUACGCUAGCUUUAAAUCGGAUUCACCAUGUCGGAUUACUAGUGACUAGCGGCAGUAAACACCAGCUCUGCCAGCGAGCACCAUCUGCAGCUGCCUGGACAGCUACCGUGUUGACAUUGCGGAGACUAAUAAGAGUUAUUUAUAUAACAUGUGCCACAAUAAAAGGCAAAGAUUACCUGUUCAGCAAAAACUCUGCUGUCUCGGCGUCUGUUUUCAGGACCAAAUCCUGGUGGAGCUUUCUCCACUGCUCGAAGGAUGACCCGAUGUUAAUUCGAGUUAGAUUCCUUGCUUGGUCACAUUUCCUCUUCGACUCCACCUUUUCUUCUGUUGCCUUGCGUUUCCUUUCCACUUUUGGCAGUGGGGCAAGCAAAGGUGUUUUUUUUUGCGUCUUUCUCCAUCACAGCUCCUGUAGCUAAGCUGCUACGCUACUUUUAGCCGCUCAAAGCUUCGAGGAUGGCCGGCAGAGUGGGAGGGGAAGAGCCGGAACUACGGGAGAGGGGUGUGUCGAAUACAGCGAGGUGAUUGGAUGAAGAGGCGGAGCAGGAGAUUGACCAAUAGGAGCUGUCCAGGAUGGAUGGCUCCCAUUGCUCAAUGUUUUUGCAGCCCUGCACCUGCUAGGGUGAACAUAUUAUUUCCAUUCUUUGUUUUCUUCGCUUUGUGGAGAUCGCACUAUAGGACCAUGAUCGCUAUGUAGACGAGGUUCAUAGUAAUUACCAGUAUCUCCAAUUGUCAACCAUGCCUUUAAGACAUGCUUGUGCGUUUAACUUUGAAUGCGUACAUUGAUUAGUGUCCAUCUGUUUUAGAAGAGAGAGGGAGAAGCAUUUUUUCAUUUAAUGGGGGGAUGUCUUUUUGUCUUGUAUGCACGAGCGGACACAGGUGUCUGCAUGACUUACCAUUCACCUGUGCUCUUGCAGUCAUAUCCAGUCAAGACAUUUCUGGUUUGAUUUAACCGCAAAGGGACUUUGUGAUGGAUGGAAGAUGAGGCAUUCAGUGACCUGUCACUUCCACCCCCCUCCUACCUCAUUUCUUGGUCCCUUCCUUUCUGACCCCUGCUUGUGCGGUCUGCUCUCCCAGGGUGGAACCUGACAUCCUUGGUACCUGUCUACAGCGCAGCACUCCCUGUCCUCAUCCACACACACCACUUGUCUUGUUUCUCCUCACCGAAACACACUGACAUUGACAGUGGUAAUCAUCCACAAACAAUUCAAGCAAGUUCACUUCUUCAACUGAGUGGAGACUGAAAUUUCUUUUCUUUUUUUUUGUGCUCAAGCCUCUGGAUGGAAUUUGAUUUAGAAGGAAGAUAUCAGCUGGAGCCUGCCAGAGAUAAUAUGCUGAACAAGAGGUGCAGACCCUCAGAGCCUGGUAAUCCACGCUGAUACACCCUCACAGACAGCUUCCAUACAUUCACCUGGAGGAAAUAAGCUCUCUCACCUUACAAGCCUUACCCUGUUUUCACUAAAUGAUCACUCUCUGCAUGGGUGUCAUCUCUUUGCCUGUGUUACAAAGCUGGAAUCCAGCAAAAUGCCAGUAAUCAGUCAAACAGAGUCAUGGUGACAAAUUUGAUCCAAUCAAUAGGUAAUUACUUAGGGAAGCUGUAGUGGUUGCAUGGGGUCAGUUGGAGCGCAGAGACCAGAAAAGUCAUUGAGGUAAUGAUCCCAUGGGUCCGGAGCAACCACACAAUUUGAGACAUUAAGUGAAUGAAGAGCUAAUUGAAUAUUAUAUCAAAUAUUUCAAAGCCAUUACCCACAAAGCUGUAGAACUUAAGUGGCAUUAAAAGCGAAGGACAAAGUUAACUUAUUCAAAUCAGGGUUAAAAUGCAAGCUGGAAGCUGCUCACUGACUCACUCACACGCCGGGCAGUUCAGGGGACUUGCUAAGUGGGGUCAAAUGUCAACAGACCCUUGCGCCGUCUGAGAGCAGGAUGACCUUGCUGGUGACAUAAACAAACUGUAGAUAUUUGUAGGGUUAUGAGUGCCAUAAAUGUCAAACAUAGUAACUGAGUCUGCUGCCAUGAGCUGCUCUGUGCUUCUGUAGGCACAGGGGAUGCUAAUAACAAAGAGUUAAUAUCAGUGUUGACAUCUUAAUGUUUAGCAAGUGUGUUCUUACUUAAAGUUGUAAGUGUGAACAUGUUUAUUUAUCAGCAUGCAUUUUGAGCUACUGUGUUGAAACAUAACAAGUCAUUACAAAUAAAAUUUGUGAAUAUUCAUGAAAAUUAGACAUGGUAUAUUCAAACAGGAAGACAAAGCAAAAUAAGGAGUAAAUAUGUAUGUCCCUCGCUGGUGUGGUCCAUUGCAAACAAUAUAUGAGGUAACCACAAGUUAAGGAUUCAGAUCUCCGUGGCACUCAGGAUGGAAAUAUUUUUGUGUAGUGGUCUGUUUCCUUUUUGAGUGAAAUGUGAGUCUCGGUUUUGCACCGUGGUUUUGUUUGCCAGGAUCCGAAGUUUUUCAUGGAUCCAGCUGUUGCUGAGCAAAGUACUUGUGACAAGAAACAUGCUAACAAGCAGGGGCGUAUCAGACUGCUACGACAAGGGUGGCUCAUCACAGACUUACGAAGUGGUGGCAUUAAGUAUAUGAGCCCACACAUCAAUAAGAGUUAAAUAUUAUAACAGUAUAGUCAUGACACCAUCUGUAUAGUAAUAAAUUGGACAAAAGUUCUGCCUCUGACAAGGAGAAAUAGAACUAGUUUCAUUUUCUGCACAUGACCUUUUUAGAUUCUGGUCUUGCCUUUAACAAGUGUCUCCUAUUACAGAACCUGAAAUGAGUGUUAAGAUGAAUACAAACUGAACUGAAGCAUUUACAAAAAGUAAAAAUAAUCUGGACAAAAAAAAACAGCAUACAAAACUUUAUUAAAACUAAACUGAGAGUAGGAAAUGAAAACUAGAUAGAACAUAAAACCAGUAAAGCUUUCAAAACUGUUACCAUGUCAGUAAGUUCAUAUGGUUCAAAAUAGCCUUUGUCUGACUGAAACUGGAAAAUCAUGUUAACACAAAAGUCUGACUGAAAUUGCAUUAAAUUAAACUUCCCAGAGUUGGACUGCCAUACCUGGGUAAUCAAUUUUCUCAGUCAUAUCUAUGGGUCAAUCGAACUGAAACUGGCUUAAAUGUUUUACACGAGCUCCAGUGUUUAUACACUGGAAUCUGAGCUGGAAGCUGAAUAGCAUGUGUUGCCAGGGAGCCAGGUAAUAAACAAAACCUCCACAGGAGAAGAAAGAACAUAGAUGAAGACUAAACUUUCCUAAAAAAAGAAAAAGGACAGAGCUGUAUAAGCAAUGGUGUUUUCUCCAUUCAACCUUAUCCUCUUGCUCGCACAUUUCGACACUGUUUCAAUAAACAAUGCGUCAUCCAGUAGACGACUUGAUAGCAGGCUAACAAGCUGAAAGGGUCAUUUCACCACCGACCCUGGCAGGGGUGAUCUGUCAACAGUUUGAUUCUUGUCCAGUGCAUGUAAACUGGGACAAGGACAGUAGUCUAGUUAAGUCGAGCUAUGAUCAUAACUCAACUUAACUCAGCAAGUAAACAUAUUAAGUGUUGUAGCCUUGCACUUGACACAUUCUUCUGUGCUGUGCUAUUUGAGCUGAUGUUCAUAAUUUUAUUGUAUUAGAGCGCACUAAAGAUUUUGACACACUGUUUUUAAAGGUCUCCUAUUCAGGCAUUUUUCAUCAAGUUUAAAUCAGUCCCAGAGGUCCCACAAUAGUACAUUUGAAGUUUGUUAUCCAAAACACCCAUUUAUUUGUGGAUAUCAGCCAGUCUGUAGCCCCCUCUUUUUGAGCCUCACUGAAAACGGGCUGAUUCUGCACCUGUACCUUGAAAUGAUAAUGAGAUGUGUGUAACCACGCUCUUCCUCCCCAAGGCCACUCUGAGCUGCCGGCAUUGCCAUGGUGGUCCAGGAGCGGUGGUCUGGAGAUCUUCUGAGGACCUCUUCAGAGGACCCCCAGACCACUGUGGCUGGAAGCACCAGCCUGCCUCCAAAACCCUCAAGGAACACCCGGUCCCUGACACAGACAGUUGGAUCCAGGUUUUAUCUUCAGCUUCUUAGCGAAUCUUGCUUUGAACUGCCCCUUGUUGGUAAAACAGUCCGUGAUGAAAUGGUACAACACACAUACAACAUUUUCAGAGUUGUUGUGGGCCUACAAUUCCAUCAAAAAUAAACAGAAUCCACUGGGUCCUCAAAUCUUCCAACGAAGGAGGCAGAAAUAGACUCCUGUCAAUGUUUGUGCAGCCAAGAACCAAGCAGGAGCGGCGUAUGCAAGGGGAAAAAAUGGCGGACGCUACUUCAGCAAAGAAGUUUUAGAGGGCUGGGCUAACGAUUAUCAGGGGCCAUGCCACCAAAAUGUAGGAGAGGCUUAUGCGGUUAUAUCGUCAUAACCGUCAUAACCAUACUUCCAUCCAUCUGUCUGUUUUCAAAGAGGAGGGGAAAGCAAGUGAGGGAGACUGAAGUUUAUAUUAGUAAGCCAGGGCAUCUGAGGUGAUAUGGUGAAGUAUGGCAAAAGUAAUGUAAUGGGUAGUGUAACCAAUUACUUAAGCAUUGAGUGACACAGUAAUGGGUUACUUUUUAAAAUAGGCCUGCAGUGUAGCAAUCUCAACCUUGAACUGUUUGAAACACAUCUUCUGGUGCUGAUUUAACUAUAAUUCAAUAUGCAAAGAUUUGAUUCUCUAUACAAAAGUUCUGGCUGAAAUAAAAGUCAUUUAAAGAGGUAUCAGACUGCAGGGUGGAAUCCACAGGCACCUUGAUAUCCAUAAAAAUAGAUCUAGGUGUUGUUCCAUUACCAGUGAGCAGGAAGUGCCUUCCAGCAUCCCAUAUUGCCAUUUCCCCCUUAUUUCCAAUAACCAACAAUUUCCACCACUCUCUGCUUCCUAGUCAGCUGCAAAAUUACAGAUCACAGAUUUGCUUACAGUCGAGAGAGGGAAGAGGGAAAGGACUGAAGGAGGGAGAAGAAAGAUAGGAAUGAGACAGAGCAACGAUUAGGGAGAGCUGAGAAACUAAAAAAAAAAGUCUCAGGCUGGUCGAAGUUAGAGAAUAAAUUUAAAAAUAGAGCAGUGGCGGCUGAAUGACAGCAGGCAGAGAUGAGAAAUGGCAUAUGCUAAUUUGGGUUCAUGCUCCCAAGAGAUCCCGGGAGAUUCCUCUAAUAAUGCUGAGGCAUUGUGACACUCAGGUGGCCCGUGCUCAUCACUGCCAUAAUGAAGCGAAUAUGCUAAUGGCUGACUCAUCUGCUGGAGGAAAAAUUAAACAAAGUAAACAACACCUUCCCUGCCCUCAGCUAGAGUGUGCAGUAGAUGGACACGGGGGAGAAAAAGUGAGAAAGUAAGAAGGAGCGGGAGGUGGAGUUGAAGCAUGACAUUAGCAGUGAGUUGUUGGUUGGCGACUCCUCAAAAGUUAGUUAUUUUACAGCUCCGGCAUCUGUGACCUUUAAGUUUCUAAAGGUCCUUUUGGAUCUCGAAACAAAUCCUUAAGCAUAAAUCUGCAUAAAUAUCCAGCCUCAUGGACUGUAAAAUGUGAUGUUAGCUGAGAUGGGUGGUGCAUAAUACUUAUUGAAACUGCUUUGUGUGAGAGUGUGCAGGCCAGAGAGGUUAACGCACAGGCUCAGAUCGAUAGGCUGAAUAACUGCUGAGGCCGGCAUAAGCGGGAUGAGUGCUCAAGAGAAAGGCUUGCAGGACAGGAGGGACCUCUGAUGCACACUCAAAAACUCCUGGGGAUCAAAUAAAGAAAAAAAAAACUCGGGUCAAAGUAUCAGAGGGAAUCUGCUGUGAACAGCACACAUAAGCUUUACUGUAAUCCCUGUGUGUGUGUUUUUAAAAUUUCCUCCUGUCAGAUGAGUGGGUACAGAUGAGUGAGUAUAUAUGCACCUCAGCGAGACCCCCCCCACACACACACAUACACACACACACACACAGCUCCUAUGUCUUGAUGAUGCGAAAAGUACGAUAUAGAAAUAAAGAUAGAAGUGAUAUGGAUCAUAUGCUAGUGUAUCUGAGAGGGUAAAAGUGAGAUUGAGCACAUUUCUAGCAUGUUGCAUCGCUAUAGCAACAGCCUUUGUACUUGCGGAGGGAAGUGGGUGGCAGGAAAAAGAGCAAGAGUGAGAAUGAGAGGAGUGAUGGAGAGAAAGAAAGAGGGAGAGAGAGGGAGAGAGAGAUUUGGCUUGCUCCGAUCUCUGGCAAGGUUCUACCAAUCCAGCUCUCUGCCAACAUGAGACCCCGGGGCUUCAAACAGUCAAGGUCACCGUGGAGGAAAAAUUAACAACUCCUAAAUGUGUUCCUGUACACUCCUUCUUUGAGAGAAGCGAUGAGGCGCAGUUCAUCCUCUCACAGAUAGAGGGAGCCACUCCUCACAAUGAGCUCACGACAAACCAGCGGCAGUCGGAUCAUGGUGGCAGUGAAGGGUCACGGUUAUUAAAGAGGGGGCUCUUAUCCACAUUGCAUUCAUUGAAAUUACUCUAUGUGGCUAUUAUUUUCAAUUCAAUACAAAAGAAAAAGCUCCAGAUAAUGUCCCUUUUCCCUUAAAUUCAGAUUCAAGCAGCCCUAACAUGCUUACCGUGUCAUACUGUUUAAAUUUGAGCUCAGCUUUUAUGUUAGCAGUGCUACUUCUUAUUCAAAGAAUCACAAUAACUUUUAUAGCCCCACACAUUAUUGCAGUGAGGCGUAAAUUACAUUUCAGGUUUGUCCAGCGUUCACACACACACAUUGGCAUAGGUCUGUGAAGGACAAGCUUGCAUCAGAAAAUCAGUGUGUGUGCAUGUGCUUAGAGAGGGAGCCCUUAGUAGCCCCAGAGGUAGUAGAGUGAAUGUUAAUCUAGUUAAAGUUAUUAAAGCUUCACUUGUUUGAUGGAGACCUGAGUUUGCGGUCAGUCCUCUUCUACUCACACAAACAAAAUUUAUCCUCAUAUGUCCUUCUGAAUUCCUGUGAGAUCACUCUAAAGGCUUUGCUGUCUGUGUAAGGCUGAAUGGUUACGGCUGCUGAUAUCAGUGACUGCAGCUAUUUUUAGGACCAGAAAUGUAUCUCCAACACACGAGCCAAGAUGAAAUAUGCGUGCAUAACAGUGAGCAUACAAACACAUGGACUUAGACAAAAACACACUCUGGUAGCAGACCAGAAAAGUAAAUUGUGGUAAAGGCAGGGAGAGAAGAGGAACAGACACAUGCAUGGAUGUUGGGCUCAUAUACAGGGCUGUGCAUCUUU